rnacentral:rRNA from 1 species
UACGUAGGGUGCAAGCGUUUAAUCGGAAUUACUGGGCGUAAAGCGUGCGCAGGCGGUUGUGCAAGACAGAUGUGAAAUCCCCGGGCUUAACCUGGGAACUGCAUUUGUGACUGCACGGCUAGAGUGCGGCAGAGGGGGAUGGAAUUCCGCGUGUAGCAGUGAAAUGCGUAGAUAUGCGGAGGAACACCGAUGGCGAAGACAGCCCCCUGGGUCAAAACUGACGCUCAUGCACGAAAGGACGUGGG